rnacentral:lncRNA from 1 species
AACCUCAGCAGACUGUCAGCUUUUUAUGAGUGAUUAACCCUAGCUAUCUGAACUCCUUUGUGGAGUGGCUCAUCUCUCCCUGCCUAGGGGUCUCUAUCCCUACAGGGCUAUAGGCUUUUCUAUUACAUGGAGACUCAGGUUAAGGAACACUAAGACAUGAGCUCACUUCCUUGGCAACAUCUCCAAACAGAACUUGGAACCCUUGUUAAUGGGUGUCACAAUCUAGUAACAGCUGUGUUCCAAGCUCACUUGGCCAGAGACAGUCAAUAGCGAACAUGCUGAGCUGCUUCUCCACUUCAAGAGGCCACAGCCUCAGGACCCCAGGUAGAGAAAGUAUCUGUGAAAGAUUAAGAAGACAGCUGACUCCAUCCAGAUGCUUCAUGACUGUCACAGAUACCCCAGGGAUGGUCUCCCCAGGAGUGACCACCAGUGACCUACCAAAAAUCAAGGACAGGGAAAGGUCAUAUGAGAGAAGAAAUCCAAGGGAUGACCAAAGACAGCCAGGGAGCCGAUCAGUUUCCGAGAGCCUACCUGGGGAGAAGGAGCUCAAUAAAAGGAGCUGGAGAAGAAGAAUCCAGGGAGUACCUCACUUUGGAAUGCUCCCCACUCCCCACUCACCCAGAGUAGCUGUCUGCUUCUCUCUCUCUCUCUCUCUCUCUCUCUCUCUCUCUCUCUCUCUCCC